rfam:Gordonia bronchialis DSM 43247, complete genome.
AUCGGUCCUCGGUAGUGGCCGCCGGAACCCGCACGGUGUUCCGGCCGCUUCGAUCGAAGGCCGUC